UGCAAGUCGAGCGAACGGAUAAGGAGCUUGCUCCUUUGAAGUUAGCGGCGGACGGGUGAGUAACACGUGGGUAACCUACCUAUAAGACUGGGAUAACUUCGGGAAACCGGAGCUAAUACCGGAUAACAUUUAGAACCGCAUGGUUCUAAAGUGAAAGAUGGUUUUGCUAUCACUUAUAGAUGGACCCGCGCCGUAUUAGCUAGUUGGUAAGGUAACGGCUUACCAAGGCGACGAUACGUAGCCGACCUGAGAGGGUGAUCGGCCACACUGGAACUGAGACACGGUCCAGACUCCUACGGGAGGCAGCAGUAGGGAAUCUUCCGCAAUGGGCGAAAGCCUGACGGAGCAACGCCGCGUGAGUGAUGAAGGGUUUCGGCUCGUAAAACUCUGUUAUUAGGGAAGAACAAAUGUGUAAGUAACUGUGCACAUCUUGACGGUACCUAAUCAGAAAGCCACGGCUAACUACGUGCCAGCAGCCGCGGUAAUACGUAGGUGGCAAGCGUUAUCCGGAAUUAUUGGGCGUAAAGCGCGCGUAGGCGGUUUCUUAAGUCUGAUGUGAAAGCCCACGGCUCAACCGUGGAGGGUCAUUGGAAACUGGGAAACUUGAGUGCAGAAGAGGAAAGUGGAAUUCCAUGUGUAGCGGUGAAAUGCGCAGAGAUAUGGAGGAACACCAGUGGCGAAGGCGACUUUCUGGUCUGUAACUGACGCUGAUGUGCGAAAGCGUGCGGAUCAAACAGGAUUAGAUACCCUGGUAGUCCACGCCGUAAACGAUGAGUGCUAAGUGUUA
rnacentral:rRNA from 1 species